AUGGACGGCCAUAGGGGCUUGGUUCACCUGUUCCCAUUCGAACACAGCCGUUAAGCGAGCCUCCGUUUUGGACUGUACUACCCUUUGCGGCGGGAACUCCAGAAAGCUGUCCUCC
rnacentral:rRNA from 1 species